CCUUGAUAUGUUUGUUGAGUGAUUUCAGGUUCAUAAGGCAAGUAUUGGAUGGAAGAAGUGAAGAGAAAAGCAUGCAAAGUGGAGAAUGCAUGAAGAAAUGGGAAUUUGGAGAAUUAAGGGCCACGCGCGCGCGUGACACUGAGAACAUUACCUCAG